ACAGUGGUCGCUGAGUUAGAACUUAACAGCGUAAUUCCACCGCCCGACACAGUCGAAGAGG
ncrna:unclassified sequences cow-rumen-1 RNA